rnacentral:rRNA from 1 species
CCCUUAGAUGUCCUGGGCUGCACGCGCGCUACACUGGAAGUUACGGAUUGAGAUACUACCUUGUCCGAAAUGGUCCGGGUAAUCACCUAAAAGCUUGUCAUAAUUGGAAUGGAUUAUUGUAACUAGUAAUCCUGAACGAGGAAUUCCUAGUAAGUCCCAGUCAACAGCUGGUACUGAUUACGUCCCUGCCCUUUGUACACACCGCCCGUCGCUACUACUGAUUGGACGUUUAAGCAAGAUUUUUAAACACUGACAGUGUGUAGUUCACGCUAUACUACAGUGAGAAGAAGAAGAUCGAGCUUACUUGUCUAGAGGAAGUAAAAGUCGUAAC